UGCAGACCUUUGGAACGUUCUAGUGAAGAUGUAGAUAUAAUAUUCACACGACUGAAAGAAGUGAAAGCUUUUGAGAAAUUUCAUCCAAACCUUCUCCAGCAGAUAUGUCUCUGUGGAUAUUAUGAAAACCUGGAAAAAGGAAUCACAUUAUUCCGUCAGGGUGAUAUUGGGACGAACUGGUAUGCUGUUCUGACAGGAUCACUGGAUGUGAAAGUUUCUGAUACAAGCAAUCACCAGGAUGCUGUGACAAUAUGCACUCUGGGAAUAGGAACUGCUUUUGGAGAGUCCAUUCUGGAUAACACUCCUCGCCAUGCUACCAUCGUUACCAGAGAAUAUAGUGAGCUCCUUCGGAUUGAGCAGAAGGACUUUAAAGCACUUUGGGAGAUUCCAAAAUUAGAUCAAGUCACAUUUCCUCAUGGAACUUCUGCUCCAAGGAGGCAUUGAGCUAUUGCAGCCCCUAGUCUGAAGGUGCCUGCUCCAGUGGAUGACCUGCGCUGUCAUGCACGCUAUCCAAAAACAAUUGGACAAUGGCAAACUUUAAAAGUUGAUGUAUGUCCUGCUUACUGUCCCAUCCCCCUCAGCUUGUGCUUUCUGACUCUUGCUUGAUGUUGCUGAGUCCUGUUUGUUGAAGGUGCUAUUUAAUCCAUGACUUGCCUGCUGCAUUCUCAUUUGACCUGUUAACUGUUAAAGCAAAAAAGUUAUUUUAAGAAUCAGAUUGUCAAAGAGAGCUUAUCUCAUGCCUUCAAAGGCCUCUAAAGAUUAGUGUUUGAUUAAAACAUGACUGCAGCAUUAAAA